rnacentral:rRNA from 1 species
AAGGUAAUAGUCCUGUAUGUUAAACGAGAAGACUUUAGAUAUGAUCCAGAGUACCACGGGACACGUGAAACCCUGUGGGAAGCAGGAGGGACCACCCUCCAAGGCUAAAUACUACCUAGUGACCGAUAGCGUAUAGUACCGUGAGGGAAAGGGGAAAAGAACCCCGGGAGGGGAGUGAAAUAGAACCUGAAACCCUGCACUUACAAGCUGUGGAAGCACAUUUCUUGUG